rnacentral:rRNA from 1 species
CGGGGUGGAGUAACGCGUGGGCAACCUGCCUUGCACUGGGGGAGUAACAGCCAGAAAUGGCUGCUAAUACCGCAUAAGACCGAAGCGCCGCAUGGCGCGGCGGCCAAAGCCCCGGCGGUGCAAGAUGGGCCCGCGUCUGAUUAGGUAGUUGGCGGGGUAACGGCCCACCAAGCCGACGAUCAGUGGCCGACCUGAGAGGGUGACCGGCCACAUUGGGACUGAGACACGGCCCAG